GACGAACGCUGGCGGCGUGCCUAAUACAUGCAAGUCGAACGCAGUGGGGACGGGUGAGUAACACGUGGGUAACCUCCCAUCAGAGGGGAUAACACUUGGAAACAGGUGCUAAACCGAUACUGAUGGAUGGACCCGCGGUGCAUUAGCUAGUUGGUGAGGUAACGGCUCACCAAGGCCACGAUGCAUAGCCGGCCUGAGAGGGAGACCGGCCAAACUGGGACUGUGAAACGGCCCAGGCUCCUACGGGAGGCAGCAGUAGGGAAAUGUCGGCAAAGGACGGAAGUCUGACCGAGCAACGGCGCGUGGGUGAAGAAGGUUUUCGGAUCGGAAAGCUCUGGUGUUAGAGAAGCGGUAACUAACCAGAAAGGGACGGCUAACUACGUGCCAGCAGCCGCGGUAAUUC
rnacentral:rRNA from 1 species